GAUGAACGCUGGCGGCGUGCUUAACACAUGCAAGUCGAACGAUGAAGCCCAGCUUGCUGGGUGUAUUAGUGUCGAACGGGUGAGUAACACGUGAGUAACCUGCCCUUAACUCUGUGAUAAGCCUUGGAAACUGGGUCUAAUACCGGAUAGGAGCGCCUACCGCAUGGGGGGUGGUGGAAAGAUUUAUCGGUUUUGGAUGGACUCGCGGCCUAUCAGCUUGUUGGUGAGGUAAUGGCUCACCAAGGCGAUGACGGGUAGCCGGCCUGAGAGGGUGACCGGCCACACUGGGACUGAGAGACGGCCCAGACUCCUACGGGAGGCAGCAGUGGGGAAUAUUGCACAAUGGGCGGAAGCCUGAUGCAGCGACGCCGCGUGCGGGAUGACGGCCUUCGGGUUGUAAACCUCUUUCAGUAGGGAAGAAGCGAGAGUGACGGUAACUGCAGAAGAAGCACCGGCUAACUACGUG
rnacentral:rRNA from 1 species